rnacentral:rRNA from 1 species
GCGUUCCCAUACCGAACACGACCGUUAAGCCCUCCAGCGCCGAUGGUACUUGGACCGCAGGGUCCUGGGAGAGUAGGACGUCGCCAAGC